GUGGUUUUCAGUGAAGAUGCGGGAAAGCAGAAAAAAACACAUUGCUAAUCCGUAGGCCGCAGGUUCGAAUCCUGCCGGGCGCGCCA
rnacentral:tRNA from 1 species